GCAGUGACUGCUAAACUAGCAGCUUAUUGGAACAUUGCUGUCAUCAGUCCUAUAUGUGCAGAUCAACAAUUUCUAGAUAAGAAGGCCUAUCCAACCUUAACAAGAGUGUUUGGACCUUUCACUAAACUAGGGUCUUUCUUUGUGGAAAUCUGCAAGCGGUUUGGCUGGCAGCGCAUCGGCAUUAUCUAUGACAAUAAACCAUCCUGGGCUAUUCCUGUUGAGGGGAUCAGGUAUCAAGCAGAGCACAAUAACAUUACAGUGGCCAAGUAUCAAGAAAUCCAUGGCUCUCUCUUCCAAGGGUCCUUGUCGACCUGGUCCUGGGUCUUAACUGAGGUGGCAC
rnacentral:lncRNA from 1 species